rnacentral:rRNA from 1 species
CAGUCGCCGCGGGAAUACGGAGGGGACUAGCGUUGUUCGGAAUUACUGGGCGUAAAGCGCACGUAGGCGGCUUGGUAAGUUAGAGGUGAAAGCCUGGAGCUCAACUCCAGAAUUGCCUUUAAGACUGCCGAGCUAGCAGGUGAGAGAGGUAAGUGGAAUUCCGAGUGUAGAGGUGAAAUUCGUAGAUAUUCGGAAGAACACCAGUGGCGAAGGCGGCUUACUGGCUCAUACUGGACGCUGAGGUGCGAAAGCGUGGGGAGCAAACAGGAUUAGAUACCCCUGUAGUCCCUGUCUCUUAUAC